rnacentral:rRNA from 1 species
UACAGAGGUCCCAAGCGUUGUUCGGAUUCACUGGGCGUAAAGGGUGCGUAGGCGGUCGGGUAAGUCUGACGUGAAAUCUUCAAGCUCAACUUGGAAACUGCGUCGGAUACUAUUCGGCUAGAGGAAUGGAGGGGAGACUGGAAUACUUGGUGUAGCAGUGAAAUGCGUAGAUAUCAAGUGGAACACCAGUGGCGAAGGCGAGUCUCUGGACAUUUCCUGACGCUGAGGAGCGAAAGCAUGGGGAGCGAACAGG